UAGUUGGGGGUGUCAGGGUGUGGCAUGAAUCCAGUGGGGAGGAGAGAUGGAUAGGUGAAUGUUGGUGGUUUGGGGAGGUGGCCAAGGGCGGGUAGUGAGGAAGAGAGCAAGAUAAUAGAUAAAUAGAUUUCGAGUAAUAGAGAUUAGGGCUAAAAACAUAUGUGUGAAUAGCAUUAUCCGUUCUUUAUAUAUUUUGGCAGUUAUAUACUUCAUUUAGAAGUGUUUUUUAUUUUUUUUUGUACAUCAAUUUUUACACUAAGGGGAGAGAGAGUUCGGCAAAACCACACAAUGGACAGCCAAUUUGGCAUCAAAUUCGCCAUCACGAGAUUCAAACCUAAGAUCUCUCACUUUCAAGUAAAGAGGAAUAUAAGUGCUUUUAAAAUCACUAAAAGCACUAAAAAUCUUUUGGAACUAAUUUUUAGUAGAAAUGCAAGUGAAUUUUGGAAAAACGUUGCUUCUUACAAAAAGCACUUCAAGUGCUGUUGGAACCCAAAAAUAAUUUCACCAAAUGAACUUUCAGUUAUUUUAAAAACAUUUCCAAGCAAAACUAUAUAUUGGAGGAAGCAAAUGAGGCAUUGGGUAUGAAAUGCGUGUAAACUGUUGUCUUUUCUCUCGAAAUGUAAGUUUUUCAUUUUCCAUUAGUUAAUAGUUCCUUUGAAUGGUACAGGUAUCUCACCCUUUAUGUAAUCGAAACAUGAUUUCUGCUCGUCUAGAUGCUGUUUUUGAGAUUGCAGAAUCUAUGGGGUCUUCCAAAGCUCCUCGGAAUAUUGAACAGCAAGAUGCGGAGGAUUCUUUUGUAACAAGUUUGAACCCAGAGUUGACUUAUAUACUUUCUUCAGUUUUGACGACUUUUGGGACGAUCACCUGAUAUUCAACGUGGGAUAACAAGGAUCUUUCAUCGGACUGCCACUCCACCCGAGGUGAUGCCGACUUCUUCUCCAACCUACAAUUUGAAUGGUUGUACGUUUGUAAAUCAUUAAUUUUAUAUCGUCUGGGUCAAAUUUGGUUGCAUUUGGGGCCUGGUGCAACUAUGUAGUUUGCCUCACCUAGCUUGUUCAGUUUCUCAUCAAGUGGCAUGCUCAGUUCAUACAAGCUAUUUUAUAUGCUGGACAACAACUUCAACAACUUCAAAUUGUAGAAUAGGGAAGCACAGAAAAUUCGAGAGGAGAUAUAGUACGCUCUGAGCUGUUGAGGAAGUUGAUAUUGUCUGCUUCGUCAUCCACUGUAGUUGGAAAAGCUGCAAAAUUGUUAUCUGCGCUCAACAAGGAAGCAGCUGACAGACAGGAUUUAUUAAACUUAUCAUCUCUGGUGGCCAAUUUUCCGAGCAAGGAAGGAGGUUCAAUUGGCAAAUGAGAAAUUGGAUUCUCUCGUCAGUUUGUACAGGAAACAGCUUGUAACGCGCAAGUUGGAAUUCCUGAGCGUCUGGAACAAGACACUUGAUAGAGGUACCAAGUUAAAGUUCAGGUUGGAGGCAGUAGUAAGGAGCCGGGAAAGAAAUAGGCAUGACAAAAAGUGGUUGCUGAAGUCACUGACAACAGACCAAAAAAGCAACAAGAGCACGAUGCAAUGCUAGAAUCUCCCGAGGACCUUCCUGCAGGAUGGAGCUUGAUUUUAGAGGAGAUAGAGAUGGUUCCGAGAAAUUCUUUAUGAAUUUGAAAACCGCAUUGUUUGAUGACACAGUGAACCCGUGUUUGGACCUGAUUUUAUACUAUCGAUCCGUGCAAUCAAGGCCGUUGAGUGAGUAUAGCUUCACACCGUCAGAUGAAAAGUGAAGAUAAUUCAUUUUGUUAUUAUUUGAAGAUAAUGUUAUGGUGUUUUAUCAUAAUUAUCUUUUAAUAAUAGUUUAUUAUGAAAGAUGUGAUACGUAUUUCCAACUGGAAACGUGGCAGCACAAUUGAAGUUGAUUUGGGUGUUUUGACGUUUGAAUAUGUGGGUGGCGUCAGGUGGUUCAAAUUGAUUGUUGCCUAUUUAGAGUAUGGUGGGGAUCAGGAUGCAUGCAUGGGUAAAGAUUAUGAAGAAGCCUAGACAGGGUUGGAUUUUGGUGGUGAUGUGAUAAGCCUAGGUUGUGAUGAUGACACAAGAAACCUAGGUAGACUAGGCUUUUUGCAUGGUGAUGGAAGAAAAGGUUUCUGCUUGAGGUUUUAUUAAAACUAGGUUUUUUGCA